CGGAGGGUGCAAGCGUUAUCCGGAUUUACUGGGUUUAAAGGGUGUGUAGGCGGGCUGUUAAGUCAGUGGUGAAAUCUCAAGGCUCAACCUUGAAACUGCCAUUGAUACUAUCAGUCUUGAAUCUUGUUGAGGUAGGCGGAAUAUGUCAUGUAGCGGUGAAAUGCUUAGAUAUGACAUAGAACACCGAUUGCGAAGGCAGCUUACUAAACAAGCAUUGACGCUGAGGCACGAAAGCGUGGGGAUCAAACAGGAUUAGAUACCCUGGUAGUCCACGCCCUAAACGAUGAUUACUCGACAUACGCGAUACACAGUGUGUGUCUGAGCGAAAGCAUUAAGUAAUCCACCUGGGAAGUACGUCCGCAAGGAUG
rnacentral:rRNA from 1 species